rnacentral:rRNA from 1 species
UACGUAGGGGGCAAGCGUUAUCCGGAAUGAUUGGGCGUAAAGCGUCUGUAGGUGGCUUUUUAAGUCUGCAGUCAAAACCCAGGGCUCAACCCUGGCCAGGCGGUGGAGACUACUAAGCUGGAGUACGGUAGGGGCAGAGGGAAUUUCCGGUGGAGCGGUGAAAUGCGUAGAUAUCGGAAAGAACACCAAGGGCGAAGGCACUCUGCUGGGCCGAAACUGACACUGAGAGACGAGAGCUAGGGGAGCAAAUGGG